rnacentral:rRNA from 1 species
UACGUAGGGUGCAAGCGUUAAUCGGAAUUACUGGGCGUAAAGCGUGCGCAGGCGGUUGUGUAAGUCUGGCGUGAAAUCCCCGGGCUCAACCUGGGAAUUGCGAUGGAGACUGCACGGCUAGAGUGUGUCAGAGGGGGGUAGAAUUCCACGUGUAGCAGUGAAAUGCGUAGAUAUGUGGAGGAACACCGAUGGCGAAGGCAGCCCCCUGGGAUAACACUGACGCUCAUGCACGAAAGCGUGGGGAGCAAACAGG